rnacentral:sRNA from 1 species
UGUGUUGUUUAUAGUGCAACGUAUGGGAAACGACAACACCAAGUGCUCCG